rnacentral:rRNA from 1 species
GUAGGUGGCAAGCGUUGUCCGGAAUUAUUGGGCGUAAAGCGCGCGCGGGCGGUUCUUUAAGUCUGAUGUGAAAGCCCACGGCUCAACCGUGGAGGGUCAUUGGAAACUGGAGAACUUGAGUACAGAAGAGGAAAGCGGAAUUCCACGUGUAGCGGUGAAAUGCGUAGAGAUGUGGAGGAACACCAGUGGCGAAGGCGGCUUUCUGGUCUGUAACUGACGCUGAGGCGCGAGAGCGUGGGGAGCAAACAGGAUUAGAUACCCUGGUAGUCCACGCCGUAAACGAUGAGUGCUAAGUGUUAGGGGGUUUCCGCCCCCUUAGUGCUGCAGCUAACGCAUUAAGCACUCCGCCUGGGAGUAUGGCCGCAAGGCUG